rnacentral:lncRNA from 1 species
AUGGGAAAGACUAGAGAUCUCUUCAAGAAAAUUAGUGAUACCAAGGGAACAUUUCAUGCAAAGAUGGGCUUGAUAAAGGACAGAGAUGGUAUGGACCUAACAGAAGCAGAAGAUAUUAAGAAGAGGUGGCAAGAAUACACAAAAGAACUGUGGAAAAAAGAUCUUCAUAACCCAGAUAAUCAUGAAGGUGUGAUCACAUCCACUCACCUAGAGCUUGACAUCCCGGAAUGUGAAGUCAGGUGGGCCUUAGAAAGCAUCACUAUGAACAAAGCUAGUGGAGGUGACGGAAUUCCAGUUGAGCUGUUUCAAAUUCUGAAAGAUGAUGCUGUGAAAGUGCUGCCCUCAAUAUGCCAGCAAAUUUGGAAAACUCAGCAGUGGCCACAGGACUGGAAAAGGUCAGUUGUCAUUCCAAUCCCAAAGAAAGGCAAUGCCAAAGAAUGCUCAAACUACCACACAAUUGCACUCAUCUCACACGCUAGUAAAGUAAUGCUCAAAAUUCUCCAAGCCAGGCUUCAGCAAUACAUGAACCGUGAACUCCCUGAUGUUCAAGCUGGUUUUAGAAAAGGCAGAGGAACCAGAGAUCAAAUUGCCAACAUCCACUGGAUCAUGGAAAAAGCAAGAGAGUUCCAGAAAAACAUCUAUUUCUGCUUUAUUGACUAUGCCAAAGCCUUUGACUGUGUGGAUCACAAGAAACUGUGGAAAAUUCUGAAAGAGAUGGGAAUACCAGACCACCUGACCUGCCUCUUGAGAAACCUGUAUGCAGGUCAGGAAGCAACAGUUAGAAGUGGACGUGGAACAACAGACUGGUUCCAAAUAGGAAAAGGAGGACGUCAAGGCUGUAUAUUGUCACCCUGCUUAUUUAACUUAUAUGCAGAGUACAUCAUGAGAAAUGCUGGGCUGGAAGAAGCAGAAGCUGGAAUCAAGAUUGCUGGGAGAAAUAUCAAUCACCUCAGAUAUGCAGAUGACACCACCCUUAUGGCAGAAAGUGAAGAGGAACUCAAAAGCCUCUUGAUGAAAGUGAAAGAGGAGAGUGAAAAAGUUGGCUUAAAGCUCAACAUUCAGAAAAUGAAGAUCAUGGCAUCUGGUCCCAUCACUUCAUGGGAAAUAGAUGGAGAAACAGUGGAAAGAGUGUUAGACUUUAUUUGGGGGGGGGGCUCCAAAAUCACUGCAGAUGGUGACUGCAGCCAUGAAAUUAAAAGACGCUUACUGCUUGGAAGGAAAGUUAUGACCAACCUGGAUAGCAUAUUAAAAAGCAGAGACAUUCCUUUGCCAACAAAGGUCUGUCUAGUCAAGGCUAUGGUUUUUCCAGUGGUCAUGUAUGGAUGUGAGAGUUGGACUGUGAAGAAAGCUGAGUGCCAAAGGAUUGAUGCUUUUGAACUGUGGUGUUGGAAAAGACUCUUGAGAGUCCCUUGGACUGCAAAGAGAUCCAACCAGUCCAUCCUAAAGGAGAUCAGUCCUGGGUGUUCUUUGGAAGGACUGAGGCUAAAGCUGAAACUCCAAUACUUUGGCCACCUCAUGUGGAAGGUUGACUCAUUGGAAAAGACUCUGAUGCUGGGAGGGAUUGGGGGCAGGAGGAGAAGGGGGCGACCGAGGAUGAGAUGGCUGGAUGGCAUCACGGGCUCGAUGGACAUGAGUUUGAGUGAACUCUGGGAGUUGCUGAUGGACAGAGAGGCCUGGCGUGCUGCGAUUCAUGGGGUCGCAAAGAGUGGGACACGACUGAGCAACUGA